rnacentral:RNase_P_RNA from 1 species
AGUUCAUACCGGGCAAUUGCUUCGCAUAUAACGAAGAGGAAAGUCCGAACUUCAUAGAACAGAGCGCCGGGUAACCCCCGGGGGUUGUAUAAUAAAUUAUACAGCUACGGAAAGUGCCACAGAAAAAAUACCGCCUCUAUUGAGGUAAGGGUGAAAUGGCAGGAUAAGAGCCUACCGCAGUAAUGGUAACAUUACUGGUCCAUGUGGACUAUUUCUUAGGAAAUAGCAAGGUAAACCCCGCUCGAAGCAAGGUCAAAUAGGGAAAUCUUCUUUGGGCUUUUCUCAAGGACAAAGUUGUUCGCUUUGAUUGGUUUCCGGGUAGACCGCUUGAGCUCUGGAGUAAUCCUUAGCCUAGAUAAAUAAUUGCCGUCCUGCUUUGCAGGAUUACAGGAUUCGGCUUAUAGGUAUGAACUUUGU